CCUACGGGUGGCUGCAGUAGGGAAUAUUGCUCAAUGGGGGAAACCCUGAAGCAGCAACGCCGCGUGGAGGAUGAAGGUUUUCGGAUUGUAAACUCCUUUCGUUAGGGAAGAAAAUGACGGUAUCUAACGAAUAAGCACUGGCUAACUCCUUGCCAGCAGCCGCGGUAAUACGGAGGGUGCAAGCGUUACUCGGAAUAACUGGGCGUAAAGAGGGCGUAGGCGGGGUAGCAAGUCAGAAGUGAAAUCCUAGGGCUUAACCAUAGUACUGCAUUUGAAACUGUUAUUCUAGAGUAUGGGAGAGGUAUGUGGAAUUCUUGGUGUAGGGGUAAAAUGCGUAGAGAUCAGGAGGAAUACUGAUUGCGAAGGCGGCCUGCUGGAACGUAACUGACGCUGAUGCGCGAAAGCGUGGGGAGCAAACAGGAUUAGAUACCCUAGUAGUC
rnacentral:rRNA from 1 species